CAGCCGCCGCGGUAAUACGUAGGUGGCAAGCGUUGUCCGGAAUUAUUGGGCGUAAAGGGCUCGCAGGCGGUUUCUUAAGCCUGAUGUGAAAGCCCCCGGCUCAACCGGGGAGGGUCAUUGGAAACUGGGAAACUUGAGUGCAGAAGAGGAGAGUGGAAUUCCACGUGUAGCGGUGAAAUGCGUAGAGAUGUGGAGGAACACCAGUGGCGAAGGCGACUCUCUGGUCUGUAACUGACGCUGAGGAGCGAAAGCGUGGGGAGCGAACAGGAUUAGAGACCCCAGUAGUCCCUGUCUCUUAUAC
rnacentral:rRNA from 1 species